CAAAUGUAAAUUUCACAAAAAAUGAUGAACACAAAGACAGAAAGACAGCAUAGAACAGACACUGUUAGUUUCCAGUUGAGUAUUCUGUUCACUGUGAGUCAAACUAUUUGAUCGAGAAAAAAUCAUGAAGACAACCGUACCAGCUUUGCUCACAAUCGUUUUACUUGGCUUGGCCUUCAUGUUAGGUCAAGCAUACGGGAAAGGCAAGCUUAGUUAUGCUAUAUUUUCCGAAGAUGAAGGCAGUUGCAGAGCUGUCGAACCAAAAGCCAGAAUAGAUUGCGGUUAUCUAGGAAUAACACGAGGAGAAUGUGUAAACAACAAUUGCUGUUGGGACACAAGCAUUAAAAACGUUCCCUGGUGUUUUUACCAAUAACAUUUUUGAAUGAAGAUUUCUGGUGACGCGAUGAUGAAUAUUAUUGUCAGUUAAUUUGACUGUAGAUGUUGCAAUCAAAUAUGUUCUUGUGGUAUUGUAACAUUCGUCAAGCAUUAAAUUUUCUACUGAGUUAAUGAAAUGUUUGUCUUAAUUUAUAAACACAUAUAUCUUCUUGUAAAACAUAGUAUUGGCCAUAUAUCUUCUUUUAAAUUCCAACAUUGGCAGACCAACCAGGAAUUGGAAAUGUAUCAAUGAACAAAACACAUUUUGAAUUCGAAAGAAAUGCACCAAAUGAUAUCGGACCUCGUUAUUUUCUCCAUGAAAAAUCCCCGUAAAGCUCGAGCGAGCACCGUAAGACAACUAAAAACUGGGUAAAGCAGUUUUUUAAAACGAAGAAAGAUUCUCCUCGUAACUUUCGAUGUAAAAGAUCGAUGAAGAUAAUUCAAAGAGUCAUUUCGUCAACUGUGUUUAACGGUCGCAAUAUUCGCACCAGCCUUCAGCUUUGGCUUUUUGUCGAGCAUCAAUUUGCAAACAAACCUCAGGGGAUAUAGUGUCGCACGGAGCUCGAUAACUGGGGGUAUUCAUAAAGGCUAACCGAGGAGUCCUUUGGGAGAACUCGAGAGCAGAUCAGGUCGACUGGUCGAGUGAAACAGCUUCGAAACCAUCUUCCUAUCUUUAAGCAACUUUCCACAUCCAGUAAAUAGUUAGGGAGAUAUCUGGGGAUAUCAAUGUAUAUAUGUAUACAUAUUGUAUAUAUCAAUACAAAUUGCAAAGUCAUUGAU